UGCCCUAGUAACGGCGAGUGAAGCGGCAACAGCUCAAAAUUAAAACCUGCCUUUGGCCGGAUUGUAAUUAGUAGAGGAUGCAUCGGAUGCGGCCCUGUUCCAAGUCCACUGGAAAGCGGCGCCAUAGAGGGUGAGAGUCCCGUUGGAACAGUGUCUGCUUCCAUGUGAUGCUCCUUCGACGAGUCGAGUUGUUUGGGAAUGCAGCUCUAAAUGGGUGGUAUAUUUCAUCUAAAGCUAAAUAUUGGCCAGAGACCGAUAGCGCACAAGUAGAGUGAUCGAAAGAUGAAAAGCACUUUGGAAAGAGAGUUAAACAGUACGUGAAAUUGUUGAAAGGGAAGCGCUUACAGCCAGACUCGCUUGGGGUGCUCAGCCGUCUUUGGCGGUGUACUCGCCCCCUAGCGGGCCAACAUCAGUUCGAGCGGCCGGAUAAAGACCUUGGGAAUGUGAUACUCUACGGGGUAUGUUAUAGCCCGAGGUGUAAUGCGGUCAGCUUGGACUGAGGACCGCGCUUCGGCAAGGAUGUUGGCGUAAUGGCUGUCAGCGACCCGUCUUG
rnacentral:rRNA from 1 species